GAUGAACGCUGGCGGCGUGCCUAAUACAUGCAAGUCGAGCGAACGGACGAGAAGCUUGCUUCUCUGAUGUUAGCGGCGGACGGGUGAGUAACACGUGGAUAACCUACCUAUAAGACUGGGAUAACUUCGGGAAACCGGAGCUAAUACCGGAUAAUAUUUUGAACCGCAUGGUUCAAAAGUGAAAGACGGUCUUGCUGUCACUUAUAGAUGGAUCCGCGCUGCAUUAGCUAGUUGGUAAGGUAACGGCUUACCAAGGCAACGAUGCAUAGCCGACCUGAGAGGGUGAUCGGCCACACUGGAACUGAGACACGGUCCAGACUCCUACGGGAGGCAGCAGUAGGGAAUCUUCCGCAAUGGGCGAAAGCCUGACGGAGCAACGCCGCGUGAGUGAUGAAGGUCUUCGGAUCGUAAAACUCUGUUAUUAGGGAAGAACAUAUGUGUAAGUAACCGUGCACAUCUUGACGGUACCUAAUCAGAAAGCCACGGCUAACUACGU
rnacentral:rRNA from 1 species